rnacentral:lncRNA from 1 species
UUAAUAUUUCUCUACAGAGUGAUUCUAGUAAGGUAGAAUGAAUAAUUAUGCUCAUCACCAUAUCCUUAAGCGUUUUGUUUCACCUUUUAGCAAUGCUAAUUAUACUAGGCGAACUAGGCAUGGUGUACUAUGGGACGAUACUGCAUUCCUCUAAGAAUUUAACAAAUGGUCUUGGACGUUGUAACCUGAUCCGUCAUAUCUACCAUAAUAUUCACCACCAUGGUCAGAUCUGACACCUUUAAUCAUUUUGUUGAGUUGAUUCUCAACUUUGAUUUUAUAAUUUUUG